AUUGAACGCUGGCGGCAGGCCUAACACAUGCAAGUCGAGCGGAUGAAGGGAGCUUGCUCCUGGCUUCAGCGGCGGACGGGUGAGUAAUGCCUAGGAAUCUGACUGGUAGUGGGGGCUAACGUCCGGAAACGGGCGCUAAUACCGCAUACGUCAUGAGGGAGAAAGUGGGGGAUCUUCGGACCUCACGCUAUCAGAUGAGCCUAGGACGGAUUAGCUAGUUGGUGGGGUAAAGGCCUACCAAGGCGACGAUCCGUAACUGGUCUGAGAGGAUGAUCAGUCACACUGGAACUGAGACACGGUCCAGACUCCUACGGGAGGCAGCAGUGGGGAAUAUUGGACAAUGGGCGAAAGCCUGAUCCAGCCAUGCCGCGUGUGUGAAGAAGGUCUUCGGAUUGUAAAGCACUUUAAGUUGGGAGGAAGGGCAGUAAGAUAAUACCUUGCUGUUUUGACGUUACCAACAGAAUAAGCACCGGCUAACUUCGUG
rnacentral:rRNA from 1 species